GGUACACCGGGUGACGUGG
rnacentral:miRNA from 1 species